GACGGAGGGUGCAAGCGUUGUUCGGAAUUACUGGGCGUAAAGCGCGGGCAGGUGGCCUUUUAAGUCCUUUGUGAAAUUCCGGAGCUCAACUCCGGACAUGCAUAGGAUACUGGAAGGCUAGAGACUGGUAGAGGCGAGCGGAAUUCCUGGUGUAGCGGUGGAAUGCGUAGAUAUCAGGAGGAACACCGGUGGCGAAGGCGGCUACCUGGACAGAAACUGACGCUGAGGCGCGAAAGCUAGGGGAGCAAACAGG
rnacentral:rRNA from 1 species